rnacentral:rRNA from 1 species
GUGCCAGCAGCCGCGGUAAUACGAAGGGUGCAAGCGUUACUCGGAAUUAUUGGGCGUAAAGGGUACGUAGGCGGGCUUGCAAGUCUGAUUUGAAAGCACACGGCUUAACCGUGUGAGGUAAUUAGAAACUACGAGUCUAGAGAGUGGUAGAGGUAAAUGGAAUUCCAAGUGGAGCGGUGAAAUGCGUAGAGAUUUGGAGGAACAUCAGUGGCGAAGGCGGUUUACUGGGCCACAUCUGACGCUGAUGUACGAAAGCGUGGGGAGCAAACAGGAUUAGAUACCCUGGUAGUCCACGCCGUAAACGAUGAGUGCUAAGUAUCGGUAGAAUCGGUGCUCAAGCUAACGCAGUAAGCACUCCGCCUGGGGAGUACGGUCGCAAGACUGAAACUUAAAUGAAUUGGCGG